rnacentral:ribozyme from 13 species
AAACAAAAAAAAAAAAAAAAAAAAAAAAAAAAAAAAAAAAA